CCUUAGAACAUGGGCUUUUCCAGGUUUAUUAGCCAAUCUGUAUAGUAAGUUGUGACUACUGGGAUCAGUGCGAUGGCGUGGACAAUGCUGAACAAAGAAAUACUUCCUCCAGAUGUGAUGGAGGACAGAUGGUGUGGGGUGUGGAAGCCAAAAAGCCGUGGCAGAACCAUCCUAACCCCUCCUGGCAAACAGUCUAUCCAGAGAGAAAGUCAUUGUAGGAAGUAAGUUUCUCUAUUAUUUUCCUCAUGAAAAUAGAGGUUAAUAAAUCUCAGUGCAAAAUUGUCUCCCCAUCCCCUACAAUCAAUCUGCACUGAUAGUUGAGUUAAUUAGUGUAUGUCAGAUAGAUCUUCAAUUUUCAUCACUGAAUUCUCUGUGCAGAAACAAUGUAUAGGAAUGGGGAGAAAUGUAUCCAAAUGGAAUUUAAGGUGAUUAGCACCCUGCUUUAUACAUAGCCCUUGGAGUCUUUGCAUUGGAGAGAGGGGAAGAUUUUACUCCUGGAGUCAGAUUCAUUUACUUUACCUUGAGCCUCCAGACUAAUGCAAGAGUAUGUUGACUUUUUCCAGGUUUCUUUGGGUAGACUAGAUUUGUGGUAAAUUCAUAGUAGAAUGAGGUAUGGUAUUAGGAGAACAAAUGCAGACCAGAGAGUUGGAGUGGUCUGAGGUGUCAAUGCUUCUUUCUUCCAAAGAAGGCAUAUGAUUGGACAGCUAUUACAGUCCACAGAACUGGUGCAUUCAAGCCUUUGCCCUCUGGAGCUUCAUAGGAUCUAUAUAUCCUGUAGAAUUUAAGAUUUAGUUCUGAGCCUUUAUAGGAGUGAUAUGUAGAUAGACCAAACUUUUUCUCUCAAUGUGUAUGGAAAAUUACAGUGAUGAAGUAGCUGGUCCUGGAGUUAGCUAGAAACUUUCAAGUCUUUCUGAGUUAGGCACCUGCAAGAUUCAUAGUAUCAAUGAAGUUCAGUCUCAGUCCCCAGAUGCCGCUCCAGGGACAGAUCUCUGAGAAAAAUGCCCACAAGUGGCGCAAGGUGGAGCUAACUUUCUAGACCUGCAUGGGUUGGGGUAGGACUGAGAAACAAGAAUAGGAAUAGGAAGGGACCUGGUUUGCAUUCCCUAUUGAGAUGCAAAUGAUCUGGGAACAAUUCUUGUGGAGGAUGUAAAACUCAGGGUGCGGGGUCCUGGAAGGAAAAACUGAGGAGUGAAAGUUUGUAGGGUAUCAACACCCUAGGAAGUCCAAGGAUCAAGAUUAGAGAAAGAUAUUUAUAAAGUGAUGCUGCAGAAAACAUUAAGUGAAUGAUAGGUAUGGAACAAUAAUACUGAGAGUAUUUUUUUUAUUAAUGUUGUACUGUCCCAAGGUAGUCCAAGCUUGAACUCAUUGCUUCCGAUAACUGCCUGGGAUAACGAAGAAAUGGGAGAGGAAAUCUCUCCGUAGAGAUUUCUGAAGAAAUCCAAAAUUUUAACUUGUACAUUGACCUUGUAAUGGAAAUAAGAAUGCACAGGAAAGCCCUUUGGGAAUUAGCUUCAGAAGGGAAAUACUAGAAAAUACAAAUAAGCCCAGAGCAUUUAUAGAAAAAGAGAAAAUUACAUGCCUAGAGAAUGGUCAGAUUUAACAUAGUUUGGAACAUAUAAUUUUCCAUCAGAAUAUUGGUAACAAUAUUUCAAUAAACUUGGGGCUGGAUGCCUUGUGUUGAAUAAAAUUGGAAGCUGUUAUUUCGUGUGAGUUCAAUCAGGGAGACACAGGGGACAAUUUGUCUGAUCCCUGAUUCUUUGUUUAGUAGACCCUCUUGGCCCAGAAACACUCUGAGAUGUCUUGUGUUUUUCAGGCCUUUUGUUUGUGAAUGCUUUUCAGUGCUGUUAUACCUGAGGACCUUGUGUUUUUCAUCAUGUGUAUGUAUGAUGUGAGACACCCUGUAUUGGAGACACAGAUGAUUUAUUUGCAAGCCUCGCCUAAGACCAAAUUAAUAUCAGUACCUCAAGUAGCUUGCAAGAUUAGAUUCUAAGCCUGUAUUUAGGGAAUAUAGACUUCUUGGUCUUUUUCUUACUGUCCCAAAAUAUAAUCAGAUAAUCCUCUGUCUGGGUACUUGGGUGCCAAGUUACUUUCUUGCAGAAACAUUCUCAAGAGUUCCUUUAGAAAAUCUAGGAAAGUGUGAGUCUAAAGACAAGCUAUAGCCUGAAGCCCAGGCUGCUGACUUGAGCACAGAUGGGAGAAAGUUAACAGCCAAGAAAUAUGAGGUCUUUGGCUCCUUUCCCAGAACUGCCAGGCUAAGACCUUGGCAGAGACUCAACAGGAAACUGAACUCUAUUUGCAUAUCCUUUUAUACAUGGGAGAUUAAAAGCUUCAACCUUGAGUGAUCACAGUUUUUGAGAAUCAUGAUGAGGCAUUAAAGAGAAGGAGGAGUGUCUCAAGGGAGGUGAGCUGGAGGCAAAGCAAGGCUGCUAGCUCUACUUAGGAGGUGGAAGUUUCCCCAGCUCUCAGAUAGCUUCUUUCCAGCAUGUGAUUUGGCACAGUUCCUAGGAAAUGAGGACAACUGAUCAUAGAGUCAUAGAGGGUAAGAACUGGAAAGGACUUCAGGCUGUAUCAAUUCUGGCCUCUUUACCUUAUAUAAGUGAGCUUGGCGAAGGGAGGUGAGGAGUUCAAGUUCUCACAGGGUAGAACUAAGUUUUGAACACAGCUUCCAGUCUAGUGGGUUUCUUUCCCAAUGUGUAAUAACUCUUCACAUGCCACAGUUCAACACUUUAAUUUCUCGAAGACUUACUUGGGAUAACUCAGGAACAUGCCAGGACUGUGACCCUGUGGAAGGAGCUGACCAGUGUUGAGUAUAACAUUGUCGU